rnacentral:rRNA from 1 species
CGCCAAGCCUCCUUCCUAUUUUUUCCAUUCGGCCUUCAACAUGUGCCAUGACCAAAUCCAAAUCCCCCAAACCUAAAUCCUCUCACGCACUCCCUCCGUCGCCGCCCGCUAGCUAGCAGCCCGCACGCCGCCGACCACCCACGUCUCCAGCAUGCCGUCACCUGUCUCCUUCAUCCUCCUGCACCCCCACUGCUUAGGCCCCCCUACCUCGUGCGCUGGAGUUCGGGGAGAGGCCGAGGCGCGGUGGUGGACGUCGCCAUCCCUCUGAGAUCUGGGGCUGAGAGAGGGAGGUAGAGGUGGGUCACCUACGAGAGAGCACUCGCACCCUCGCUCGUCAGUCGUCACCCAGGGGCCGCCACCACCACCGCCACGCCAUGGGCUUCCUCCGAUCUGCGCUCGCCGGUUCAUCUGAAGAAGGAUCUGGCCGUUGACUGCUGGUGCUUCCCCUCCCCGGGCGAUCUACCAUUACUUGGGAUAGUACUUCUAUCCAGCAAGCAGCGUUUUGGAUGUGAGCUCCAGCUCAAGCAGAGCACAAAAAACAGGGGCUCUAUCUGCUAAUGGGGUAGCCGGCAACGCAGUCUAAGAGCUAAAUCUCAUGUGAUUUCUGGAUAUGAGAACUUGAGAAGAACUAGCUUGAUGCUAUUAUUGAAAAAAAAAUCUAUGCUACAGGAUUCUUCUUUGCAUCCCAUACACUUAGAAGGAGUGGAGGCUGCCGCAGCGGUGCUGGACUCGAAGCCCAAGCCAUCAGACGCCGCCGACAGUCUGAUGCCUUCAGAAUUGGCUCUCAAAACUUUCAACCAAGAUUAGAGCUAGCAUACAGUUUCUAGUUUAUUGUCGUACUCAUACUCAAUGAGUCCCUACCUCGGCUUCUGGGCAAGAUAUUCUUUAAUUUUAGUUGAUUAGCAACCACUAUUGUUCAGGAAUUUUGAGUGGCGCACAUCCUGGUCUGGCGAGCCGAUGACCGGACAUCAUUUGUUAAGGAAGCAAAAAGGACUACACUCACAAGGAACCAUGAAGUCAACGAUCCACGUCAACUAGAUGUUUUAGCUUUCAUUUUGUACAACUGAUGUCUGAUACUUGCAUCUUUUGGUUGUCCUUUUGUAAACCUGAUGUAUGGUUUCUCGGUGGUUUUGUUUAGAACAGAUUGAAGUGUAUGUGCCAAUUAGUUAAUGGAAUAAAAAAUGUUUGGUGCUCC